UACGUAGGAUCCAAGCGUUGUCCGGAUUUACUGGGUGUAAAGGGUGCGCAGGCGGAAUGGUAAGUCAGAGGUGAAAUCUCAUCGCUCAACGGUGAAACUGCCUUUGAUACUAUCAUUCUUGAGUCCGAUAGAGAUCUGUGGAAUUCCGAGUGUAGCAGUGGAAUGUGUAGAUAUUCGGAAGAACACCAGUGGCGAAGGCAGCAGAUUGGGUCGGUACUGACGCUCAGGCACGAAAGCAUGGGGAUCAAACAGG
rnacentral:rRNA from 1 species